CGAGCAAGACUUCCGUAUUGCUGGCCUGCCACGUGACUCAUGUAGUCCCGAGAAAUAAGGGAUUUGUAGUUUUAGUGACUACUUAUAUUUUUAAUUGUAAAACUUAUUGACAUUACACUUCACAGCUCUUGAUAGACUCGUGGGUUCCGAAUCUAAAGAAUUCCAAAAUAGAAGUCCCUUUGGACUUUUUGGUCAUACAUUCAUUAAUUUAGCAAGUAUAUGGUUAGUAGCCUCAGUUCUCAGCACUUGGGGCAAUGGAGAACACAGAAUAAUGUAGCUAAGACGUAUAGAAUCCCCCUUUAUUACUUGCAUUAUUUUAUUACAUACCUUCAAGAAUCCUAGGACGGGAACAUUGUUGUCCCCACAGCAGAUGAACUUGAGGGUGGAAGAUUGGCAGUACUGCUCUUCAGGGUAUGAACUUUUUAUGGAAAUAACUGGCUACCUUUGUACUAAAAGAAAGUGAAAGCUCUAUUCUUGCUUGUAAACACCUCACGAUGGUCAUGAGUUCCUCGUGAUGAAGAAAUGAUUUCGAAAUGAAGGCAGUUUCUUGGAUAGCAGCUGCCAGCACAUCGCAGCUCUGGCCAGUGCAUCCUUGGAACAGAAACUGGUGACCGGGAGACCAUACGUAGUAGGCUGCAAGAGAAUCAGCUUGACUGAAUUGCAUGGCAGGAGUGGUUCUUCAAAGAAGAAGGAAAUGGCAUCAAAGUCACAUCUAAACAGUCUACAGCACAAACGUGAUUGUAUUCUCCUCCAAGAACGUGACUUUUCAUCUGUUGAGCAUUUUAAACUUGACACUUAGCAAUGCCCAUCACGGAAUGAAGAGGGAAGUAGCCUUCCUACCUGACAGAAGCCUGGCCCUGUUGUCAAAGGGCAGAACAGGUCUGGGGAGAUCUCUACGUCUGAAGAACAAAGCACCCUUUUUGUAACAAGCAUCUAGCUGAGUCACUAAGCUGCCCUACGUACCUCAAACUGGAAAUCCUCCUGCCUCAGCCUUCCAGAGUGAUAGAAUUAUGUGUAGAAGCCACUACAUGCAGCAAGUUUAUCUUGGCUUGUGGAUUUUAGAGGCUGGAGUCCAUGGUCCGUUGGUUUCAGGUGAAAGCAUGGCAGAAGGGAGCAGCAGAGGAAAAGUACUCCCCACGCAGUGCAGAGAGAAAGUAAAAGCCUGGAACAAGAAUACACCUUUACAGGCUGAGCCCCCAGUGGCCCACCUCCAACCAGAUCCCAGCUCCUAAGAGCACCUCAGCUACUGACCUCAUCAACAGGUGAACCAGUCACCUUCCAAACAUGUGAGGCUGUGGAGGACAUUGUAGCUGUAAAGCAUAAUGGUUGGGUCUGUACAGUGUUAUGAGCUGAAUCCUGGAUCCAUGGACUGGAAAGAGACUGAGAGAUUUCAGCAAUGGUAAGAGUCCAUGGUGCCACCACCUACUUGCAGGAUACAUACGACAUUCAGAUGAAAAUAAGUUAUGAGAAGGCUAAUAUUAUAUAUUUUCCCGUGAUUAUUAAUGCUUUUAUUUCUUGGAUGUCAACUUUUAAAUUCUAUUAAAAUUUUUUUGGAGGUACUUACUUCAUCAAUGCCCAAGACACACAUUCAGCUAACUUAUAAAGCGAGGGGACCUCAGAGACGCACCCUUUGUUCUGUGAGAUCUUAGCAGAUUACAAAGUAGCUAAAUUUAUCUUUCAAUUCAAAGUAAUUUGCUGGGUGUGGUAGCACACACUUAUAAUCCCAGCACUGGGGAGGCUGAGGCAGGAGGAUUAUCGUGAGUUUGAGGCCAGCCUGGAUUACACAGCAAGACCCUGUCCCCCCACAAAAGAAUGAAGACAAGUCCAUCCAUUUCAUUGAGCUAACAGCUAAAUUAGCUGACUUACUGGGUGUAGUGCUUGCUGUAUAACCUCUCUAUAAAUAAUAAAUAAAUUAUAACUGCUGGUGUCAUUUUUACAGAA